rnacentral:misc_RNA from 1 species
GCCCAGAGCUUACUGAGCAAUGAAAGCACUGCGCAGUGUUACCGUUUUCUUCAAAUAUUUGUCAAUUUUGUAGAUACCCCACCUAGUGAGAUUUAAGGGACAGCCACCAAUAAACAAGGCUUUGUGUACUUACAGUGUCUAAAUGUGCAAUGCUCUAAUGUGUUCUUUUUUUCUUCAAGUGCCACAUUUUAUUUGGAAGAUAUGAUUUUCAUUGUACAGAUAUGAAGUGAAAGAUGACAAAACACUUGUUUAUUCAUCACUAAGAAUCAUAGAAGAAAGUCGUGAAAUACCUGGAAAAAAUCUAGCUUUAUUAGUGUAGUGCUUUGACAGACAUUAUACAUGUUAUAGCACCUUAGUAUUGAUCGUCUCCACACAAAUGUAGAAAUGUUAUCAUGAAUUACAUGUAUAUUUGUAAAAAACCUCAUCCAUAGAUCUUGUUGCAUUUCAAUGCCAAUUAAUUGUGUAUAUAAGUUUGCAAUGUUUUGUUCAAUUGAUAUUUAUUGUUGAAGAUUUUUAUACUGUACAGCUUUACUUUUUACAUGUACAUAUCCAUUACAUUUUCAAUUUGCUUGUAUCAUAGUGUACAGCUGAUUACUGACAACCAGUUUGUUUUUAUUGUUUUUUGCAAUAAAUCAGGAAACAAG